rnacentral:rRNA from 1 species
UACAGAGGGUGCAAGCGUUAAUCGGAAUUACUGGGCGUAAAGCGUGCGCAGGCGGUUAUGCAAGACAGAUGUGAAAUCCCCCGGGCUCAACCUGGGAACUGCAUUUGUGACUGCAUGGCUAGAGUGCGGCAGAGGGGGAUGGAAUUCCGCGUGUAGCAGUGAAAUGCGUAGAUAUGCGGAGGAACACCGAUGGCGAAGGCAAUCCCCUGGACCAGCACUGACACUGAGGCACGAGAGCGUGGGGAGCAAACAGG